CCCAAAACUCAAGAGAGCUACUUACAAGCAGCUAUCACUGAGCAAACCCAUCUCUGUUGCAAAAGAAUGGGAUGACGUGUUAGUAGAGGUGAAAAGCCAAGCAAGCUGGGUGAUAGGUGG
rnacentral:ncRNA from 1 species